rnacentral:rRNA from 1 species
AGUCACUGACAUUAGAUACCCGCGUAGUCCCAGCCGUAAACAAUGUGCGUUAGGUGUGUCGGUAACCACGCGUUACUGAUGCGCCGAAGAGAAAUCGUGAAACGCACCACCUGGGAAGUACGGUCGCAAGGCUGAAACUUAAAGGAAUUGGCGGGGGAGCACCACAACAGGUGGAGCCUGCGGUUUAAUUGGAUUCAACGCCGGACAUCUCACCGGAUAAGACAGCUGAAUGAUUGUCAAUCUGAAGGUUUUACAUGACUAGCUG